GGGGUCCGGCGCGCUCCCGGGCCUAGCCGGGCGCGGGGUCGGGGGCGCGGCCGAGGCGGGGGGUCCGGGACGCAGGGUUCAGGGACUCAGGACGGCCGGGCCGCUGCCGGCGUGGGGAGGAACGCGGCGGCUUCGGGGCGCUCGCCUUCUGCGGGGUCCGUGGUGACUCAACGCCCUCAGCCCGACGUCGCCGGCGGGGAGCUGCCGCCGCUGCGCCCUCGCCUCCGCCCCGCCCCCCCGGAGGCCGGCCCCGGGCCCGCCCCUCCCCCGCCCGCGGGUCUGGACCUGCGACCCGCGCGCCGGAGCGCCUUUCUGCGGACGCCCCGGCGCGCGGGGUGGGGGGAGCCCGGCCCGUCCGGAGCGGGUCGGAACCGCGGGCUUCUGCGGCUCGUGAAACGUCUCGCUGAUCUUUCUUGGCUUUUUUAAGACUUUCUGUACUUGUGCGAGCGGCACAGGCGGGGGACGCGCAGAGGCGGGGGCACGGGCGCGGCGCGGUCCCCGGACCCAGGACCCCAGCCGGAGGCAGACGCCCGCGACCGAGCCCCGGGGCUCAAACGGCGCUUCUCGGGAAGGUCAGCUCUGCCCUCGGGCGGCGCGCGCGCUCGAAGCCGUCGGACGGGCCCGCCGUGUGAGCCGAAGGGCCGGGGCGUCCGGCGCGGGUGCGGGGACCCGUGGGGCCUGCAGGGGCUCGAGGGUCCCUGUUGGUGUCAGUUCCGUGUCCAGCCGGGAAGGAGCGAAACCCCUUCUCGUGCGUGAUUCCUGCGUCGCACUCGUGGGCCGCACACUUUCCUGCUUUGUUUCCGCGACGUGCGCUCCGCAAAGGUCCCCGAUGUUCUCCUGGAGCUUCUGAAGACGCGGGUCUGCGCCCCAGUGACGAGCGCGGCGGCACCGGCGGACUCGGGCCCUGGAACUCGCUGGCCCGCGGCGGGGCGUUCUCCUGUUGGAAAACAAGCUCUUUGAGGAGCACCUGCUGGCGCGUUCGUGGAGCACGCGAGUCCCUUCCUCUGCGGUUUGCCUUCUACUGAUGGAACUUUUGAGUUGAAAAAUCCUCUUUUCAGCCAUCUCCAGUCUCCAGAAAAUUCAAUGAGCUCUUCAUUUCAGAGACAGAGAUAGCGGGAACAGGAACACAAGGAGGCGGACUGGGAGAGGGAGAAGCAGACUUCCUGAUGAGCAGGGAGCCCGAUGUGAGACUCGAUCCCAGGACCCUGGGACCAUGACCUGAGCUGAAGGCAGAUGCCCAACAGACUGAGCCACCCA